rnacentral:lncRNA from 1 species
UAUGUUGAAUCUUUCUAUACUUAAUGAGUUGACCUAUUUCAGUCUUUUUUUUUAAUUAUAUGCACCAGCACAAAAAGCUAGACUCUAUUUUAGAUAAAAAUCUCUCACUACUGAAUAGAAAAUUCCUCUAGUUAAGCCCCUUCUUAGGUAAGGCAUCGCAAACUCCUCACCUUUUGCCAGAGAGCCAAGGCAGCAAGAUAAGAUAUAGAGCAGGGUAU